rnacentral:rRNA from 1 species
ACAGAGGGUGCGAACGUUGCUCGGAUUUACUGGGCGUAAAGCGCGUGUAGGCGGACUCGCAAGUCGGUUGUGAAAUCCCUGGGCUCAACCUAGGAACUGCAUCCGAAACUGCUUGUCUUGAGUAAUGGAGAGGGUGGCGGAAUUCCCGGUGUAGAGGUGAAAUUCGUAGAUAUCGGGAGGAACAUCAGUGGCGAAGGCGGCCACCUGGACAUUUACUGACGCUGAGACGCGAAAGCGUGGGGAGCAAACAGG